rnacentral:rRNA from 2 species
UCCGUAGGUGAACCUGC